AGCAGCCGCGGUAAUUCCAGCUCCAAUAGCGUAUAUUAAAGUUGUUGCAGUUAAAAAGCUCGUAGUUGAAUUUCGGGAUCAAGUCGUCGGUCGUGCUUAGGUACGUACUGGCGUCAUUGAUUUCUCCCUUCUGACGAACCAUGAUGUCACUAAUUUGGUGUUAUGGGAAAUCAGGACUGUUACUUUGAAAAAAUUAGAGUGUUUAAAGCAGGCUCACGCUUGAAUACAUUAGCAUGGAAUAAUGAAAUAGGACGUUCGAUCCUAUUUUGUUGGUUUUAGGAUCAACGUAAUGAUUAAUAGGGAUAGUUGGGGGCAUUAGUAUUCAAUUGUCAGAGGUGAAAUUCUUGGAUUUAUUGAAGACUAACUACUGCGAAAGCAUUUGCCAAGGAUGUUUUCAUUAAUCAAGAACGAAAGUUAGGGGAUCGAAGACGAUCAGAUACCGUCGUAGUC
rnacentral:rRNA from 1 species